rnacentral:rRNA from 1 species
GACAGAGGGUGCAAACGUUGCUCGGAAUCAUUGGGCGUAAAGGGUGCGUAGGCGGCGCGGUAAGUCGGGUGUGAAAUCUCGGAGCUUAACUCCGAAACUGCAUUCGAUACUGCCGUGCUUGAGGACUGGAGAGGAGACUGGAAUUUACGGUGUAGCGGUGAAAUGCGUAGAUAUCGUAAGGAAGACCAGUGGCGAAGGCGGGUCUCUGGACAGUUCCUGAUGCUGAGGCACGAAGGUCAGGGGAGCAAACGGG